rnacentral:rRNA from 1 species
CCUACGGGCGGCAGCAGUGGGGAAUAUUGGACAAUGGGGGGAACCCUGAUCCAGCCAUGCCGCGUGUGUGAAGAAGGCCCUCGGGUUGUAAAGCACUUUCAGUGAGGAAGAACGCCUGGUGGUUAAUACCCAUCAGGAAAGACAUCACUCACAGAAGAAGCACCGGCUAACUCCGUGCCAGCAGCCGCGGUAAUACGGAGGGUGCGAGCGUUAAUCGGAAUUACUGGGCAUAAAGCGCGCGUAGGUGGCUUGAUAAGCCGGUUGUGAAAGCCCCGGGCUCAACCUGGGAACGGCAUCCGGAACUGUCAAGCUAGAGUGCAGGAGAGGAAGGUAGAAUUCCCGGUGUAGCGGUGAAAUGCGUAGAGAUCGGGAGGAAUACCAGUGGCGAAGGCGGCCUUCUGGACUGACACUGACACUGAGGUGCGAAAGCGUGGGUAGCAAACAGGAUUAGAUACCCUGGUAGUC